CAAAGUCUUUACUUAUUUUCUACUUCAAAGCAUGCUUAAACUUUGCAGGAGCAGGAUGUGGAGGGUUUGAAACGGAAAUUAUCCGAAUCGGAAGCCAAUGAAACGAUAAUCAGGCUACUGUUGAUGAAGAGAUUUUCGAUGCCCAGUCUUUAAGGUUAUCCACUAAUGAGUUACUAAGAACUAUUGGCCUAAAAUGUGGACAAAUCAUUGCAAUUAGAAAAGCAUUUCCUAGUUCUUUGGAUACAAGCACUAAAGAAUCUACUGCUCCAUGGCCUUAAUCAACUAUUCCUAUGACCCCCAAUGCAAUCAUUUCUGCAGAAAAGCAGGAAUCUGCCAAAACAAGUCAUAGCAAUGCAUCAGUGUCCAGUGCUUUUGUGAAAACACCUGAAUCUGGAAAAAAGAAUAUAUUAUCCAUAGAGCUGCCUGAAAAGUCAUCGUUAUCUCCAAGAGUACAACAGGGACUAAGAGAAGGAAAGUUGAUAGACAAAGCCAGAAAUGAGUAUGUCCGAGAUGUGUGCAAUGUAAUCCGUACAUUUUCAUUGCAUGUAUAUAUGUAUACAUGUACAGUAUAGGCAUAUAGUUAAUUGUUCAUUGCUAUGUUUUUAUAAUUUCAUAACUUGCCCUACAGUUGUCCAUGACU